AGCGAACGCUGGCGGCAGGCUUAACACAUGCAAGUCGAGCGGGCCCUUCGGGGUCAGCGGCAGACGGGUGAGUAACACGUGGGAACGUACCCUUUGGUUCGGAAUAACGCUGGGAAACUAGCGCUAAUACCGGAUACGCCCUUUUGGGGAAAGGCUUGCUGCCGAAGGAUCGGCCCGCGUCUGAUUAGCUAGUUGGUGGGGUAAUGGCCUACCAAGGCGACGAUCAGUAGCUGGUCUGAGAGGAUGAUCAGCCACACUGGGACUGAGACACGGCCCAGAAUCCUACGGGAGGCAGCAGUGGGGAAUAUUGGACAAUGGGCGCAAGCCUGAUCCAGCCAUGCCGCGUGAGUGAUGAAGGCCUUAGGGUUGUAAAGCUCUUUUGUCCGGGACGAUAAUGACGGUACCGGAAGAAUAAGCCCCGGCUAACUUCGUG
rnacentral:rRNA from 1 species